rnacentral:rRNA from 1 species
GACGAACGCUGGCGGCGUGCCUAAUACAUGCAAGUCGAGCGGACAGAAGGGAGCUUGCUCCCGGAAGUUAGCGGCGGACGGGUGAGUAACACGUGGGCAACCUACCCUGUAGAUCGGGAUAACAUCGAGAAAUCGGUGCUAAUACCGGAUAAUCAUUUGAAGUGCAUGCUUCGAAUGUAAAAGAUGGCUCCGGCUAUCACUACGGGAUGGGCCCGCGGCGCAUUAGCUAGUUGGUAAGGUAAUGGCUUACCAAGGCAACGAGGCGUAGCCGACCUGAGAGGGCGAUCGGCCACACUGGGACUGGGACACGGCCCAGACUCCUACGGGAGGCAGCAGUAGGGAAUCUUCCGCAAUGGACGAAAGUCUGACGGAGCAACGCCGCGUGAGUGAUGAAGGUUUUCGGAUCGUAAAGCGCUGUUGUUAGGGAAGAACAAGUGCCGUUUGAAUAAGGCGGCACCUUGACGGUACCUACCAGAAAGCCACGGCUAACUACGUGCCAGCCGCCGCAGUAAGAC